rnacentral:lncRNA from 1 species
AGGAUUCCUGGGCUGGGGACAGGGAGAGGAAGAAGAGAAAGAUCCGCCAUGCUGGAAAAAGGAGAACUAAGAUGCCACACCCGAGAAGCUCAGGACAGAGAACAUAGCCGCCAUAUUGGAGUAAGGGGAUCCCAGCCCAAGAUGGUCUGGGUAUAGGGCAGCAAAGAUGGAAAACAGUUAGGGACUCCAUCCAAUAAAGGCAAAUAAAGAGAGCCUGAAAGUAUAGCUUGGCACCUACGCAGCAAGCCACUCCUGUCUACAGUGCUCAUGAACCUUCCAGAAUCAUGGAGAAGACCUGCCGUGCAUGGCCCUUAUUGCAAACUGAAAGUGUUUCGAGGCCCAAGGUGGAAAGAAAAAAAAAAGAAGAAAGCAAACCUGGGAAACACAGAAUUCAUUCAGCCCCUUGUAGUCCCGCACUUUGGUCACAGAGGAAACAUCCCCUGACAGCCUGGUGUUCGAAUCUAAUGUGGUCAAAGCAAACUAUGGAGCCGGACCUAUGCAAAUCUCUACAGAAACUCGAGGUUUGCUUCUGCCACAUCUGGGUCUCCCGAGGUCGGAGAGGAUCGUCUUUAAUAUUCCUUGGUAGAUUCCAGGAGCAGCCCCCAUCCAUGGUUUGGAGGACUCGACCCUAUGGAGCGCCCUGGCCUGGAGGUGUGCAGGUUAGAAGGAACCCCAGCUGUGGCACCUCACUAUCCUUCUCUUUCCCGACCCGUUCAAAAAUAAAAAAAUAAACCCCAA